rnacentral:lncRNA from 1 species
GGGUUUUGUUGCUUUAGGUGAAAAUCAGAAAAUGGGAUGUCAGUUCAAAUUUUACUCUCUCUUUCUGUAUUUAAAAAUCAAUUUUUGGUCCCCUUGGGAUGGCCUAGUGGUUAGGGUGGUUGCCUGUUGUCUAAGAGGUCACAGGUUCGAGUACUCUCGGCCACAAUAACCACUAGGUGGGGUGUGUGUGGUUUGUAUUAUUUAUAAUGUAAUUUCAUCAAAAAAAAAAAAAAAAU